rnacentral:lncRNA from 1 species
GCCGACAAUUCUCUUUUUUAAUAAUAAUAAUAAUAAUAAUAAUUUUUAUUGAUUUUUGCACAAAUUUUCCAAUGUAACAACUCCAAAACCACAUAACAAAUCUUUGGCUAUCACAGCCUAAGACUUCCUUCAACCCCUUCUAAUGGUUUUCUAAAUUUCUUUCUAAUUUUGCAUUUUAUUACCAGGCUUAUUGCUGUAAAUCCAAUCUUACAUCAGUUAAUCUUAGUCCUUUUCACAAUAAUUUAUAUAGUCCUCCUUAUAAAACUUCUUGUAAUCCUACAAGCGAUGUUAGGUAAUUACAGUUAUCUUUCAAAUACAACUCCUGCCAACCUAGCAGUUCGAAAGCACAUCAAAGUGCAAGUAGAUAAAUAGGUACCGCUCCGGCAGGAAGGUAAACGGUGUUUCCGUGCGCUGCUCUGGUUCACCAGAAGCGGCUUAGUCAUGCUGGCCACAUGACCCGGAAGCUGUACGCUGCGGCGCUCCCUCGGCCAAGAAAGCGAGAUGAGCGCUGCAACCCCGGAGUCGGACAUGACUGGACCUAAUGGUCAGGGGUCCCUUUACCUUUUACUUCAAAUACAACAUAAAUUUCUUCCAGUCCUUUAGGAAAGUCUGGUCAUGCUGAUUUCAAAUUUUUCCUGUUAGUCGUGCCGGCAAUUCUCUAUUAGGCUAAACGUAUUUCUGUCCUGCAUCAUCUCUUCAAGGCUCAGGCGAUUGAGAAAUUUUCUGACACUAAAAAGGAGCAACAAAGUGGCCCCACUCCAGCGCCAGGAGCCGCCUGUGGCAACAGGUGAGCAAGUGCCCUGCCGCUGCCGCCAUUUUUGGGAAGGGAAGGGCAGGAAUAGGCUAGGGUGGCAGCUCAGGAUAUAGGAGGGGAAGCUAGUUAAAAAAAAACAAAACUCAAAAGAGCUAGACUGCUGGAUCCGACCCAAGGCUUAUCUGGUCCAGCAUCUGGAAACCCACUGGCCAGCCAGUUUUGUGGGGUCUGAUGAAAGGAGAAAAGGCAUUUCUGGAGGAAGCAGGUGGCAGAGGCAGCUGAUUGGACAGGGCUGGGUGGCCGUUGUCAGUUAGAGGGCCACAUUCUCUUGUGAGCCACAUUCUGGGAGCUGCAGGCCAAGACUGGCCCCCAAGGCCCGGGGUUUGGCACCCCUGUAGUAGGAGUGUAGAAGCCGGGAAAUCAAGGAGAAGAUUCUUGGAAUAAUCUUGGAAGCUGCUAAGGGAUGAUCUAACUUGUCCCCGUGUCCUUCUCUUGUUGCAGUUGUGCCACAGCUCUUCAAGGCUUUUCCAGAGCCUGAGAUUAGUACUGGGGAAAACAAAAGAGUAGGGACUGGAUCCCUCAGACCCUCUGCCCACUGACUGUAGUCUUUGCCCUCAAUUCUGCAGUCUCUGAAGCGGAGAAGCCCUCACCUCACAAUAAACUGACAACCUGACAUUUGCCAUUUCAGCCACUGGACCUUGAAAAGCUGUUUCUUUUAACAGAUGAGGGUUGUGGUGGUAGCGCAGAGCUCUGGGAUAAGCUUGCUGUGGGGAACAGUGGUGGGACGUUACGCAGCCGCCAUUGAUAAGAAGCUGAGGGAACUGGCGGCCAGCAGCGUAUCUUCGCUGCUGGCUUAUGCCAAAAGGUUCCCUGACCUCAAAGUAAGCAGCUCACUUUUGUUUACUCAUUUCUUUGAAUACUUCCACCCCCACCCUCCAAGAGGCUCCCAAAGCAACUAAUGCAAAUAAUGUGUGUCCCUGGGGUGUCAGGAUGAUGCCAUAGGCAUGUAGUGCUGCCCUUCCACCUCUACCCAGGAGGUUGCAGGGCCCAUGGAGGUCCUGUGGGGCAAGGGAUUGGGCCCAAGCCUGAGGGAGGCCAGUCUUUCCUUGCUUGGGCCUGCUUGUGGGCUCCCUUGCACCUGUUAAUGGUGGGGUUUGUAGUGUCACAAAAGGCGUCUGAUCCCGCUUUCUCUUUCCUCUGCAGAAGGCAGUAGUCCAACGACAGCUGUCACGUAUGUGGCCAGCACCCGAAGAAGGUAACCGAGUCUCCACACCUUGGGGAUGCAGAGUGUGUCCACGGAGCUAACUUUUCACUUAUUAGCUUUAUUGUUCGACAUCCCAGGCCUUCUUGCAGUGUUUGCUGUGCCUUCCAGGCCUUUUCCACUUGGCCUGAGAAGGCAGGGCCCUGACUGACUCCAGAUACAAAAAUGACGUCUCUCCUCUCCCAUUCUGGGACAAGACUCAGACGGAGGGGAGGGGGUUACCUGAGGCUGUAAAACCCUCCAAAAACCCCUGAAGGCAGUCGGGGGACAAGGACACCUGUGAAUGUCUUUGUGCCUGCUCCUGCUGCUGAAGAAGCAAGGGGCUUAUGAUGCUUUGUCUCAAGACCUCCGCCGCUGAGGCAGUCUCCAAGUCCGCCAUUGCAAGUGGCAGAGCUCCUUCACAAUUUGGAAUAUUGGAUCAAAAUUAAAGGUGCCUCCAGAGAUGUGGACAGUGAGCUGUAAUCUGAAUCAGACUGUCGAGAUUGAGGGAUGAAAUUAGAGGGUCCUGCCUUGAUUAAAAAUGGAGAGAAUUAUUAAUUUUAUUAUUAUGUAAAGUCUGCAAGGGCUUAACACCUACCCCAUUUGGAUUAAAGAAAUAAAAGUAUCACAAAUGAGGUCUGUUAAAGGACAGCUGGAAGUUUGUGAAAUGCUUGAAAUUCCUUUUCUAAAAUGGAUUACAGACUAAGAGAGGACCGGACAUAAAUUCCCAACUUAGUGAACUGUGCUUAUAUCAGACUAUAGACAUUACAAUAGACUAUAUAAGUGAUGAGAGGGGAACUAUUGUCUGGAAAAUAAAGAAAAUUGUACAGGAAUAUUUUUGGAUAAAUGGAUCUGGCAUGCUAGCAGGUUUUAAGGUUAACCGUCAGGAAAACAAAAUGACUAUAGAAGAGCAAAAGACUGAUGGAGAAAACAGGAUUUAAAAGUGGAAAAAAAAUAAAGUAUUUAAGUUUUACUGUAUGAACUGUAUGUUAUUUCAAAAUAAUUUUGUUAAUACAUGGAUGGAAAUCCAAAAGGAUAUGUUAAGAUGGGAAAACUAAAACUGUCCUUGCUGGGUAAAAUUUCUGUGAUAAAGAUUAUACUUUCUCCCUCCCAGUUAUUAAGGAAAUUCAGGCAACUGUUCCCAGAGUGGUUUAAUUAUCAAUCCCUCCUCCCAGGGAAUUGUAGCUCUGUGUGGAGUAUAGGGUUCUCCUAACAACUCUUGGCACCCUUAACAAACUACAGGUCCCAGAAUUUUUGCGUGGAGCGGUGACUGUUGAAAGUGGUAUCCUGGAGCUUUAAAUGCAUGGUGUGAAGGAGGCCUCAGAAUCUGUACACUCUAGUACUGCCAAAUCGAUUUCAGUCUUUUAAAAAGCCCGUUCCCCUCUAUCUUCGCCUUUUCUUCUUGUUGUUGUUUAGUCGUUUAGUUUUGUCCAACUCUUCGUGACCCCAUGGACCAGAGCACGCCAGGCACUUCUGUCUUCCACUGCCUCCCGCAGUCUGCUCAAACUCAUGCUGGUAGCCUCAAGAACACUAUCCAACCAUCUCGUCCUCUGUCGUCCCCUUCUCCUUGUGCCCUCCAUCUUUCCCAACAUCAGAGUCUUUUCCAGGGAGUCUUCUCUUCUCAUGAGGUGGCCAAAGUAUUGGAGCCUCAGCUUCAGGAUCUGUCCUUCCAAUGAGCACUCAGGGCUGAUUUCCUUAAGAAUGGAGAGGUUUGAUCUUCUUGCAGUCCAUGGGACUCUCAAGAGUCUCCUCCAGCACCAUAAUUCAAAAGCAUCAAUUCUUCGGCGAUCAGCCUUCUUUAUGGUCCAGCUUUCACUUCCAUACAUCACUACUGGGAAAACCAUAGCUUUAACUAUACGGACCUUUGUUGGCAAGGUGAUGUCUCUUAAAAAGUAGAGACAUCACCUUUUCUUCUUGGUGCUUCCCAAAUAGCCGUUAUUAAGCAGAUACAAGUCUCAUGCUUCUCCAGUCUGUUACAGGUUUAUGAUUUUAUCUCAGCCUCCUCUGGGGGACUGCUUCUUGCCAGCCAAGGGGACUCUGAUCGAUGGCAGUCGAGUGUCUUUGAUGCUUGGUGAACAGCAGGGAAGGCUGCUCUAGAGUUCAGCAUCUCCCCACCUGCCCUGCCCUGCAUCACUGACACCAACCAGGAAGAAAUGGAGAAAAAGCGAGAUUGUCCUUCUGUGACUUCUCUCCUGCUGAGUUAGGCCUGAUGGCAUGAGGAGGGCAUGGCAAACAUCUGAGAGGCUGGCGCACAGAAAACGGAGGCUUCUGAGGCUGGUGUCAGGGCUGGGCAUCUGCUGAAGAGUGGGUCUCCGUAGGCCGAAUACUGCAGCAUCUACUUCUCUCCCUUGCUGUUCCUGCCUGUCCACUUCCCCUGUCCAGGAACACAUUAAGAGCCUGCCUGCUGAAUCAGGCCAAUCCCCCAUCUCCGGUCCAGCAUCCUGCUCUCUCAGUGUUAACUGGAUAGGUCUACCCUGGUAAGGAGGAGACUGAGAGGAGGUAUAAUAGCCAUCUUCAAAUAUCGUAAGGGCUGUUACAUGGAAGAUGAAGCAAGCUUGUUUUCUCCUGCUCUGGAGAGUAGUACCUGAACCAAUGGCUUCAAGUUACAGAGAGAUUCCAACUAACCAUCAGGAAGAGCUUUCUGACAGCAGAACAGACUCUCCUUCCUUGGAGGUUUUUAAGUAGAGGUUGGAAGGCCAUCUCACAUGUAUGAUCUAGUUGAGAUUCCUGCAUUGGAGGAGGUUGGACUAGAUGACCCUCAGGGUCCCCUUCCAACUCUACAAUUCUAUAAACCUCAGAAUGCAUCAUAAAUUGGUAUCGUAGUGGCUUUAUGCUGUGAAGAAGGUCUUAGUAUCUCACUGCCGAAUUUCAACCACCCUAUAAACAAGCAGGGAAAGAAUCUGCAUUCCAGGGACAGCAUGACACCUACAGGCAGAACCAACAGAUUCAGGGUGCUGGAGGGAGUAUUUGCAGACUAUUCCCCUCCAAGCUGCCGGUGGUCACUUUACAGACCCUGCCCUCCAGUAAAACUCCUUGAAUAUACAUGAGCCCAGAAGGGCAAGUGUUUUGCUAUCUUCUUGUCAGACAUGUUCCAUGUGUUAAGUAUUCAAACAUCCAGCCUUUCUACCUCUAGUCUGUACAACACAUUGCCACACCCUCCAAGUGUCCCUAUUUUCCAGGAAUGUCCCUGAUUUCAAGAAGGCAUCCCGGUUUCUGAUUUGUUCCACUAUUCCUUGUCCCACUAUUCCUUAGAAUGUCCC